rnacentral:lncRNA from 1 species
AAGAAAAGGCCACCCCAAGAGCAACAAAAAAAGGUACACACACAAUUCUGUAAACAAUUGAGCUGCUCAUUCCUGGGCUAGCACUUGUUUAUUCCUAGGAUUAAGUGUGUUCUAUCUACCCAUCCAGUACCAGUACAAAAAUUAUCUCUACACAUGUUAGGGGUGGAAAAGAGAAAGGGAUGGAAGGAAGGGUUGGAGUUGUAGGGGACCAGUGAAGUGCCAUGAUAUUUUUGUCAGGGGUUGAGUCAGAAUUGUACCUUUUUCUUUCUCUCUCUUUGCAUUGCAGUGCGUUUGCAGCUGUUCUUGCGUAACAUGCCUG